rnacentral:rRNA from 1 species
UACGUAGGGGGCAAGCGUUACCCGGAUUCACUGGGUGUAAAGUGCGUGUAGGUGGCUGGUCAAGCGUGCUGUGAAAUCUUCGGGCUCAACCCGGAAAUUGUAGUGCGAACUGGCCUGGUUGGAGUGUAGGAGAGGGAUGCGGAAUUUUCGGUGUAGCGGUGAAAUGCGUAGAUAUCGGGAGGAACACCAGUGGCGAAGGCGGUAUCCUGGCCUGUAACUGACGCUGAGACGCGAAAGCGUGGGGAGCGAACCGG